rnacentral:rRNA from 3 species
GCGACCCCAGGUCAGGCGGGACUACCCGCUGAGUUAAGCA